rnacentral:rRNA from 1 species
AACCGGAUUAGAUACCCUGGUAGUUCCACGCUGUAAACGAUGUUCGAUUUGGAGGUUGUGCCCUUGAGGCGUGGCUUCCGGAGCUAACGCGUUAAAUCGACCGCCUGGGGAGUACGGCCGCAAGGUUAAAACUCAAACGAAUUGACGGGGGCCCGCACAAGCGGUGGAGCAUGUGGUUUAAUUCGAUGCAACGCGAAGAACCUUACCUACUCUUGACAUCCAGAGAACUUUCCAGAGAUGGAUUGGUGCCUUCGGGAACUCUGAGACAGGUGCUGCAUGGCUGUCGUCAGCUCGUGUUGUGAAAUGUUGGGUUAAGUCCCGCAACGAGCGCAACCCUUAUCCUUUGUUGCCAGCGGUUCGGCCGGGAACUCAAAGGAGACUGCCAGUGAUAAACUGGAGGAAGGUGGGGAUGACGUCAAGUCAUCAUGGCCCUUACGAGUAGGGCUACACACGUGCUACAAUGGCGUAUACAAAGAGAAGCGACCUCGCGAGAGCAAGCGGACCUCAUAAAGUACGUCGUAGUCCGGAUUGGAGUCUGCAACUCGACUCCAUGAAGUCGGAAUCGCUAGUAAUCGUAGAUCAGAAUGCUACGGUGAAUACGUUCCCGGGCCUUGUACACACCGCCCGUCACACCAUGGGAGUGGGUUGCAAAAGAAGUAGUAGCUUAACCUUCGGGAGGGCGCUUACCACUUUGUGAUUCAUGACUGGGGUAAAGUCGUAACAAGGUA